CCUACGGGAGGCAGCAGUGAGGAAUAUUGGUCAAUGGACGCAAGUCUGAACCAGCCAUGCCGCGUGCAGGAAGACGGCUCUAUGAGUUGUAAACUUCUUUUGUACGGGGGUAAACGCAGAUGCGCGUAUCUUUCUGAAAGUAUCGUAAGAAUAAGGAUCGGCAAACCCCGUGCCCGCAGCCGCGGUAAUACGGAGGAUUCAAGCGUUAUCCGGAUUUAUUGGGUUAAAAGGGUGCGUAGGCGGAAUGCAAAGUCAGCGGUACAAGCGCGGGGCUCAACCUCGUUCUGCCUUUGAAACUGGCGUUCUGGAGUGGGAGAGAGGUAUGCGGAAUGCGUGGUGUAGCGGUGAAAUGCAUAGAUAUCACGAAGAACUCCGAUUGCGAAGGCAGCAUACCGGCGUCUAACUGACGCUGAAGCACGAAAGCGUGGGUAUCGAACAGGAUUAGAUACCCCUGUAGUC
rnacentral:rRNA from 1 species